UGAUGUGAGGGCGAUCUGGCUGCGACAUUUGUCACCCCAUUCGGCUGAUCUGGGUGGCUAAGCGGGUGUCCCCUUCCUCCCUCACCGCUCCAUGUGCGUCCCUCCAGAAGCUGCGCGCUUGGUCGAAGAGGACGGCCUUCCCCGAAUAGAGACUGACCGGUCUUCGGUCGAGGGUAUAAGAGUAGCUGCGCUCCCCUGCUAGAACCUCCAAACAAGCUCUCAAGGAAAAAGUUGCAUGGAGGGGAGUUGGGCGGUAGUGCAGCUGGUUAAGCACAUGUGGUGCGAAGCCCA
rnacentral:snRNA from 1 species